rnacentral:rRNA from 1 species
AGAGAGAGACAUGCGCGCAUAUCAAUAAGCGGAGGAAAAGAAACUAACAAGGAUUCCCCUAGUAACGGCGAGUGAAGCGGGAAGAGCUCAAAUUUGAAAUCUUAAAGGGUUUCCCUUUACGAAUUGUAGUUUAAAGAAGUGUUUUCUGUUGAGGUUUUGGUAAAAGUUCUUUGGAAUAGGACAUCAUAGAGGGUGAGAAUCCCGUAUUUGACCUUUACUUUCAACUUUGUGAUACACUUUCAAAGAGUCGGAUUGUUUGGGAAUGCAGUCCAAAAUGGGUGGUAAAUUUCAUCUAAAGCUAAAUAUUGGCGAGAGACCGAUAGCGAACAAGUACCGUGAUGGGAAAGAUGAAAAGAACUUUGAAAAGAGAGUUAAACAGUACGUGAAAUUGUCAAAAGGGAAGCGUUUGACACCAGUGUUGUUUUUCUGAAAAUCAAUUAAAGAACUGUUUAUGCUAAGCUGUUUAGACUUUAUCAGCUAUCUGUUUAGUUUUGAGCUUUUCUUUAAUGCACUUUUCAGUUAACAAGUCAACAUCAAUUUCUUUUGCUGUAAAAAAGCUUGAGGAAGGUGGCUUGAGAUUCGUCUUAAGUGUUUAUAGCCUCUUGCCUAUGCAGUCGGAGAGAUUGAGGUCUGCAGCGUAGAUCCUUCGGGGCUAAAUGCAUUUGUGCUAAGUUAUAGCAUUUUAUAGACAACUUGUUGACUAUGAUCUGUCUUGUAGCUUACUCGCUUAUGUUAUUUUACCUACGCUUAGGAUGUUGAGCGCAUGUCUCUCUCU